rnacentral:rRNA from 1 species
AACACUGACUUCGACCUGAGAUCAGACGAGAUUACCCGCUGAAUUUAAGCAUAUCAAUAAGGCGGAGGAAUAAGCGGA